CAAGAAUCAGGAAGGAGGUGGAAAUUGGUACUUGAGUGCUCAACAUCUUUUCAUCUUUGAACAUCUCAGAAAUUUCGUGGGUAAUAUAUUGCUUUAAAUUGAGUUCAUAGAUUCUCAGGUUCCAUUGACAUUUUGCACUUACGCUUUUGUUGGUAUAAUGCUGUUGGCAUUCUGGUAACUGUUUAUAAGCAGGAACAAUUCACACUUGAUGAGUGUGCAGAAAUUGAAACACUAUGCCUAUUACUUGAGAGCUGUUUUAUGUCCUCUUCUUCUGGUGGAAAUGAUUUUGAAGAUCAUUUACGGACUGCUUUGCGAGAAAGUGAUAUAGUAUUUCUACAUUGGGUAGUUAUCAUCUUUCAUGUACAUUGGUGCUCUGGCUGCUGCAUUGGUCAGUUGGGUUCUAGUACUUUCAAUCACCCUGCCUAUGGACAGCCCUGUCUAACUGUUCUGAGGAAACUUAGUAGUCAAUUCUGUGGGGCAUUUGAAGAACGAAGUAAAGGAGCAUUUGUUUGAUGAGCUUCUGUUUUUGUGCCGCAAUGCUAAUGGUGAAAUAUUGAGUGCUGCCACAGAUGCCAUAUCACACAUCACAU